ensembl:lncRNA
CUUCGAGUCAUUAAAACUUAAAGCUCCAGCUCUAAAAUUAUAGAAGUUUACGAUGUAUGUUUUGAUCACACCUUCUGUUUCCCAUUUCUAUAAGUAUUAAUCUUUGAGGUUUAAGUUGCAAUGUGUUUUUUUUUUUUUUUUUAGAUGAUGGAGAGGAAGGCCAUGCAUCUCACAAUAAACUUGUGUAUACAAGUGUGAAUUUUGUGGUUGAGACAAUGUAUAAUUAUAACUAUGCUUUAGAGGUGUUAUGGAUAUUUUUAUCAGCAGGUGCAUGCUUUACUAAUAGAUCCUAAGAAUUCUUCUAUUUGUACUUUUGACACUCUGUAUUAAGUGUGAUAAACGUCAUGCACUCUGUCUGUAUAUGAAUAUAGGAGACUACCAAAUAAGGAGAGAUGCAAACUUUAUGCAAGGCUAUAAAAAGCCAAGGAGCGCUUUGUGCGGGGCCGCACUCCGAUGGUGAAGACUUACUCGCUGUUAUUUUCAUUUUUUAUUACUUAUGAGUUAUUGUCUACUAAUAAAGCGAAGCCAUUACAAAUGGUGAUGCGUUAAAUGUUUAUUAAAAUAAAAGACUCUAAGUAAUUUAUUUACGAGCAACAUAUUAUUCUGGAACUGAAUAUUCCUUUCGAGCCUCAAGAAGUCUGAACUCAGCUGAGCAGAUUUGGGUGCGAUCUCAGAGAUUCCUGCAUCUAUACAUCACCAUCAGAAGACAAAAUUCAUACAAGCACAAGACUCACUGCAGAGGAACCAGUGUCCAACGAGGAGCAUCUCAGCUGAGCACAAAACGAAAAAGAAAAACCAUCAAGAUCAUUUAAAGCACUUACAGUAGAACAAGAAGAAAUGAACAUACAAAUACCAACACCAGCAGUAGCAGUGACUGGGGUCUCCGUUCAGCCUGCUGUAUCGGUGGUUCAGCCCGCUGUAACGUAUGUUCAGCCCGCUGUACCAUUGAUUCAGCCCACUGUAACAGUUGUUCAGCCCGCUGCACCAUUGGUUCAGCCUGUUGUGGUCAUGAGUCAAAGGCCAGUUGCUGCGGUGCCAGAUUACUUGGGCUACUCCAUCUUUACCAUGCUGUGCUGCUGUUUACCUCUGGGCAUCGUUGCUAUCAUCUACUCAUGCAACACUCGAGAUGCUAACUUGUCUGGACAGCGAGAGUUAGCGAUGAGCAGCUCCAGAGCGGCGUUGAUCCUGAACAAUGUGGCUUUCUGUCUCGGCAUUCUAAUCAUCACUGCAGUCACUAUUGUAAUACUUUAUGUGAACGAAGUAUUUGAUUGA